GCGGGGAUAGCUCAGUUGGGAGAGCGUCAGACUGAAGCUUCAACUUCAUUCAUUCUUCUCAGGAUUAUCUGAAGGUCGUGCGUUCGAUCCGCACUCACCGCA